rnacentral:rRNA from 1 species
AGAGACAGCAGCAGCCGCGGGAAUACGUAGGGUGCGAGCGUUAAUCGGAAUUACUGGGCGUAAAGCGUGCGCAGGCGGUUGUGUAAGACAGGUGUGAAAUCCCCGGGCUUAACCUGGGAACUGCAUUUGAGACUGUAUGGCUAGAGUGUGUCAGAGGGGGGUAGAAUUCCACGUGUAGCAGUGAAAUGCGUAGAUAUGUGGAGGAGUACCGAUGGCGAAGGCAGCCCCCUGGGAUAACACUGACGCUCAUGCACGAAAGCGUGGGGAGCAAACAGGAUUAGAGACCCCCGUAGUCCCUGUCUCUUAUAC